rnacentral:rRNA from 1 species
GUCCACGCCGUAACUAUGGAAGCUAGCCGUCUGACAGCUUGCUGUUAGGUGGCGCAGCUAACGCAUUAAGCUUCCCGCCUGGGAGUACGGUCGCAAGAUUAAACUCAAAGGAAUUGACGGGGCCCGCACAAGCGGUGGAGCAUGUGGUUUAAUUCGAAGCAACGCGCAGAACCUUACCUACCCUUGACAUGUCCAGUAUGGCCACCAGAGAUGGAGGCCUUCAGUUCGGCUGGCUGGAACACAGGUGCUGCAUGGCUGUCGU